UGCCCCUGUAGCCCAAUUGGUAAGAGGUGCCUAUCUCAAAAAUAGGAGGAUGUUGAUUCAAGUUCAACCAGGGGUAU
rnacentral:tRNA from 2 species